UAUGCCUUUCGCUCCCUUUUCCUCUCUUUCAUUUUCUACUGUUCUCUCCCUCCAGUUUCUCUUUCGCCGGUGAAUCUCUCUCUCCCUUUUUGUUUCUCUCGCCGGAAAAGUGCUCGCCGUCUCCGCCCUCCGCCGCCUGCACCCUAGAGGAAUCUCUCUUUAUUGCCGCUUGCGUGUUUUCGUCGUUUUCCUUCGAUUCGGUUCCGGAACCUCUGGAUCUCUGAAUCUGACUCUGCUUCUUGUUUUUCUUCGUCUCUUUCGAGAAUGUGGUCCGCCUGCGCCUCCUUCCGCCGUCGCGCUUGACUGCUCCCGCUAGGAUUGUGAUCUAGGGUUUCGGUUUCUGGAUUUUGGAUUUCUUUUGACUGUUUUUCUGCUGGUGUUUGGUGAAGUAACGAAGACGGAGGCGUGUAAGAAUAAGAAGCAGCUCCGGGAUGAGAUGGUGGAGGGAAGAAUUUGUUCUUUGAAAGAGGAAAGAAAUGGGUUAGGUUUUUUGAAGCGCAAGAGGCUUCGGCUAACAAAUUCUGAAACUGCCAACAAAAGUAUAGCUGUCAAGGAUAUGAUGAAUAGAAGUGGAGGUGAUGCUUUAAGGGCCUCAGCUCCAUGUGGUGUGAGAUUACUUGGUGGUAACGCAGAAACUUUUUCUUGUUCGAGUGGCAUGUCAGAUGAGAGGGAUGUCUUUUCAAAAAGGAGAGUAGACAAGUUCGAAUACAAUGAUUUAGAGUGGACCGAGAAGAUUCCAGAGUGCCCUGUAUAUUCUCCGUCAAAGGAGGAGUUUGAGGAUCCUUUGGUCUAUUUGCAAAAGAUUGCUCCUGAAGCCUCAAAAUAUGGCAUAUGCAAGAUUGUUUCCCCACUGACUGCUUCUGUUCCUGCUGGGGCUGUAUUAAUGAAGGAGAAACCGGGGUUCAAGUUUACAACAAGAGUACAACCUUUCCGAUUUGCUGAAUGGAAUAAUGAUGACCAAGUUACCUUUUACAUGAGCGGCAGGAAUUAUACAUUUCGGGAUUUUGAAAAAAUUGCGAACAAGAUAUAUGCUCGUAGAUAUAGUAGUUCUGGAUGUCUACCUGCCACAUAUCUCGAAAAGGAAUUUUGGCGUGAAAUUGCUUGUGGAAAGACAGAAAGUGUUGAAUAUGCUUGCGAUGUUGAUGGUAGUGCCUUUUCAUCUUCACCAUCUGAUGAGCUUGGGACAAGUAAAUGGAAUUUGAAGAAUCUUUCACGGCUACCCAAGUCCAUAUUGCGCCUUCUGGAAACCCCAAUACCGGGAGUAACGGACCCCAUGCUUUAUAUUGGAAUGCUGUUUAGUAUGUUUGCUUGGCAUGUGGAAGAUCAUUAUCUAUACAGUAUUAAUUAUCAUCAUUGUGGGGCAUCUAAAACUUGGUAUGGCAUUCCUGGUCAAGCAGCUUUGCAGUUUGAAAAUGUGGUUAGAGAACAUGUAUACACCCAUGAUAUCUUAUCGACCGGCGGAGAGGAUGGAGCUUUUGAUGUUCUUCUGGGGAAAACAACGUUGUUUCCACCAAAUAUUUUGUUGGAUCAUGACGUGCCUGUAUACAGAGCUGUCCAGAAACCUGGGGAAUUUGUAAUUACCUUCCCCAGAGCAUAUCAUGCUGGAUUUAGUCAUGGCUUCAAUUGUGGUGAGGCAGUCAACUUUGCAAUGGGUGAUUGGUUCCCCUUGGGAGCUGUUGCCAGCCAGCGGUAUGCACUCCUGAACAGGAUGCCUCUAAUUCCUUAUGAAGAACUUCUAUGUAAAGAAGCAAUGCUUCUCUACGCAAGUUCAGAACCAAAUUGUGCAUCUGCAGAGUUAGCCUCUCAUCAUUCUAUUAAGACAUCUUUUGUAAGUAUGAUUCGCUUCCAGCAUCGUGCUCGAUGGUGUUUGAUGAGGUCAAGAGGAUGCACCAGUAUUUCACCAAAUUGCGAUGGAACCAUCAUUUGCAGCUUAUGCAAACGUGACUGCUAUAUAUCUUAUAUUAGCAGUAGUUAUGGACAUCCAGUGUGUCUUCGUCAUGAUAUCGAGUUGCUGGACUUCUCUCGUGGUAGCAACCGUACACUCUUCUUGUGUGGGGAUAUUUUAGAAAUGGAAUCCGCAGCUCAGAAAUUUGAGCAGGAAUGUGGAAUAUUGGAUGAGAUUCAGGGGCAAGCUUAUAAUGUUGAAGAGCUGUAUUCUUAUCCUCUGUUAAACUUGUUUAAAGUAGCUGAUGUGGAUGGAUAUACUCCUUAUUGCAAGAUAGAACUGCAGUUGAACUCUGAAACUGAGCGCGUUUCCAACAGCCAGCCUUCACUGAGUUGUGUCACUGAAAAUCAUAGACCUGAACCAUCAGAUCCUUCCCUCUCUUAUGAAGCAUCAACACUUUGUUCAGUUGUAGACUGUAAUGAAACAUUGUCCACCACCAGCCGUGUACAAAGGAAUUCAAGUAUUGAUUUCAGGAAUCAUGAUCCUGAACAGUCUUCUGAAAUUUCUAACUGUGUGCUUGAACCAUCGCAUAACAAUUGCUCAAGUACAUCUCCUGCCAAUGUACGUGCAUUUGAACCAACGUCUCUACAUCAAGAAAGUGACGAUUCUGAUGCAGAAAUUUUUAGGGUCAAGCGCCGCCCUCUGAAGCCAGAUAAAAAAUUUGGGAGUGAUGCCACAUCUUUAAAGCAUCUUGCUUGCCAGGAUGGCGGGAAACAAUUCAAGAGACUCCAAACUAAUGUGAAUUGCGGGCGACGAACGCCAUCCGAUUGCCAUGGAACUGACAAAUCACGUCAUAAAUUUAACCCUUCUACUGCUCACAAGCACUCUGCAGAAAGCGAUGCCAUUGACAGGUCUAACAGAGGGGGGAGUACCCUUCCCAUCUCUAUUAAGUUGAAGAGAUUCAACAACGAGAAGCUAAUUAACAGACAACGUGCCUAUGAACUCGACCACCGGAGAAGAGAAAGGUUUCAGCAUGAGAUGGGAAAGCCCAAAAGGGUACCACCCUCCGUAGAGACUGGGCCGAAGCGCCUCAAAAUCAGAGGCCCAGAGCAAGUUUAAUGGAUCAGAAUGGGCCUGAAUCUGGGCUGUUGUGGUGGCCUUUGCCUUGCCUCGCUCUGUGUACAGCAGCAUAUGACAGAGCCUGACUUUGCUAAUCUUAUUUUUCACUAAUGGAAGGGGGGUUCUAACAACACACGAAGGAAAGCCAUAGAUGAUUGAUGAUUAGUCUUCUGGGAGCAGUGACACAACAAAACUUUUAACCUAGGAUGCAACAUUUUAACAUUCUUUGUGCAGGCCUCAAAAAAUAGGGGCCGUGUGCACGCAUGGGUUGUGAUGAUUCGAUUCUUGACGUAUCCCACGUCGGUACCGGGCCAUUUCUCCGCCUUCCCGGGACAACCUUGCUGCAGCAGCACAGAGAGAGACAAUUUUUGGGUCUGAUUAUCUUGUGGAGGCAAAGGCAAAAGCUCCUCCUCCUUACUCCCAGUUCCAGGUAUAAAAGGGAUAUAUGAAUGGAUGAUUAUAUAAUUAUAUUCUUUGUGGAGGGCGGUUGGGUGGGACCCCUUUUUUCUUAAGAUAAAAAGAGAAUAUUUGAGUUUGAAUGGUGGGAAGGUUUAGGACUAGAAUUUUUAGAAUGAGAAAAGAACCUUUUUUUUCUUCUUAAAAUAGCUUUCUUCUUCAAUGGUGGGUAGGAUUGUGUUCAGUCUAUAUUUAGUUUGAGUUUGUUUAAUUAGGUUAUAUGAUAAACAUUUUCAAGAUCUACUUACUAAUAAAAUUGUACAAAACAACAAGAAUUUUUGAAAAUAGAGAACUAAAAAUGAAAUGGGCAUUGAACGACACAUAAACUAUCCUUAUGAGACUCUUAUGAAACUUAUUAUCAAGCUCUGAAAAACCAAGGGUGCUUAGAUGCGAUUUGAGGAAGUUGAUUUUAUUUGAAAAAGGAAAAGGAAAGAGACAAUGGGUAAUGGUUUCUUUUCAAAGAGAUCUUGCGUGUAUCUUUCACUCGUUAAUUUAUUCUUUUUUCUUUUUUUUUUUCUCUCAUAGGUUUAUUGAAUACGUAAUUUGAGGUUAGCUUUUGCACCACAAGUCUUUGCAAAAGAUUCAUAAUGUUUCAUCUUUUUGUUGGUUUCUCACCUUUUUUUGCUUAAAAUGGUGGCAAUCUAUCACUUCGCCAA